rnacentral:rRNA from 1 species
ACACCUACGGGUGGCAGCAGUCGAGAAUCUUCGGCAAUGGGCGAAAGCCUGACCGAGCGACGCCGCGUGUGCGAUGAAGGCCUUCGGGUUGUAAAGCACUUUAGUGGGGGAGAAAAGCCGAAAGGUUUGAUCUAUCCCAAAAAUAAGCACGGGCUAAGUUCGUGCCAGCAGCCGCGGUAAGACGAACCGUGCGAACGUUGUUCGGAAUCACUGGGCUUAAAGGGCGCGUAGGCGGGCUGUCAAGUCUGGGGUGAAAUCCCACGGCUCAACCGUGGAACUGCCUUAGAUACUGACGGCCUCGAGGGAGAUAGGGGCGAGCGGAACUGUGAGUGGAGCGGUGAAAUGCGUUGAUAUUCACAGGAACUCCGGUGGCGAAGGCGGCUCGCUGGAUCUCUUCUGACGCUGAGGCGCGAAAGCCAA